rnacentral:rRNA from 1 species
UACGAGGGGUCCAAGCGUUGUUCGGAAUCAUUGGGCGUAAAGCGCGCGCAGGCGGAUCAGUAAGUCAGGUGUGAAAUCUCGAGGCUCAACCUCGAAAUUGCGCCUGAAACUACUAGUCUAGAGUGUCGGAGGGGGCAGGGGAAUUUCACGUGUAGGGGUAAAAUCCGUAGAGAUGUGAAGGAACACCGGAGGCGAAGGCGCCUGCCUGGACGACUACUGACGCUGAGGCGCGAAAGCGUGGGGGAGCAAACAGG